rnacentral:ncRNA from 1 species
UUUUAAGCAUUGAUUGGAAAUAGUAAAAAUGAUUGUGUACUUUUAGAGAGCUGAUGGUUGGUGAAAAUCAGUAGACGCACAUUUUGAACUCGUCCAUGAGCUAUUCCCUGAACAAAUAGUAAGGGUAAUCGGUUUCCUCCGUUAUUGGGAUAAACAGUGUUAGCUGUUGAUGAAGCGGGCUUUUCAUGAAUGGGAAGCCAACUAGAGUGGUACCGCGAGCAUAAACUCGUCUCUAUU